rnacentral:rRNA from 1 species
GACGAACGCUGGCGGCGUGCCUAAUACAUGCAAGUCGAGCGAAGUUUUUCUGGUGCUUGCCCUAGAAAAACUUAGCGGCGAACGGGUGAGUAACACGUAAAGAACCUGCCUCAUAGACUGGGACAACUAUUGGAAACGAUAGCUAAUACCGGAUAACAGUAUUUCUCGCAUGAGAGAUAUUUAAAAGUUGGUUAUGCUAACACUAUGAGAUGGCUUUGCGGUGCAUUAGCUAGUUGGUGGGGUAAAGGCCCACCAAGGCGACGAUGCAUAGCCGACCUGAGAGGGUGAUCGGCCACACUGGGACUGAGACACGGCCCAGACGCCUACGGGAGGCAGCAGUAGGGAAUCUUCCGCAAUGGGCGAAAGCCUGACGGAGCAACGCCGCGUGAGUGAAGAAGGAUUUCGGUUCGUAAAGCUCUGUUGUUAGGGAAGAAUGGAUAUGUAGUAACUAUACAUGUAAGAGACGGUACCUAACCAGAAAGCCACGGCUAACUACGUG